rnacentral:rRNA from 1 species
UAUGUAGGUGGCGAGCGUUGUCCGGAAUUACUGGGUGUAAAGGGAGCGCAGGCGGGAAGACAAGUUGGAUGUGAAAUACCCGGGCUCAACCCGGGAGCUGCAUCCAAAACUGUUUUUCUUGGGUGAAGUAGAGGUAGGCGGAAUUCCUAGUGUAGCGGUGAAAUGCGUAGAUAUUAGGAGGAACACCAGUGGCGAAGGCGGCCUACUGGGCUUUAACUGACGCUGAGGCUCGAAAGCGUGAGGAGCAAACAGG